GGAACAUUUUAUGCAGCUGCCCGCCUAUCUGGUGCCACUCCUCCUCCCUGUCAUACGUUGAGCAGAAGUAUAGGGUGGCAGGGUAUAAGCAUGCUUCUUGAUGGUCUAUUUGGUUCUAUUGUUGGUUCAACUGCUUCGGUGGAGAAUGUUGGGCUUCUUGGACUGACACAUGUAGGAAGUAGGAGAGUUGUUCAAGUGUCUACAUCUUUCAUGAUCCUUUUCUCCAUAUUUGGAAAAUUUGAAUCCUUCUUUGCAUCAAUCCCUCUACCAAUAUUUGCUGCCAUAUAUUGCGUUCUGUAUGGAAUAGUCG